rnacentral:tRNA from 1 species
CGGAAGGGUGGCAGAGUGGUUUAAUGCACCGGUCUUGAAAACCGGCGUAGGUGAAAGCCUACCCAGGGUUCAAAUCCCUGCCCUUCCGCCAU